rnacentral:rRNA from 1 species
GACGUAGGGGGCCAGCGUUGUUCGGAAUUACUGGGUGUAAAGGGUUCGUAGGCGGUGUGGCAAGUCGGGAGUGAAAUCUCUGGGCUCAACUCAGAGACUGCUUCCGAAACUGCUGUGCUGGAGUGUGGGAGAGGCGCGUGGAAUUGCAGGUGUAGCGGUGAAAUGCGCAGAUAUCAGGAGGAACACCGAUGGCGAAGGCAGCUCGCUGGGACGGUACUGACGCUGAGACGCGAAAGCGUGGGGAGCAAACAGG